rnacentral:lncRNA from 1 species
GCAGAAAAUCAGAGACACAGUAACUAGCAGCCAAGCCAGCUGCUAACUCAAGUGAAAAUGCAAGCCAGCUAGCAAGGGCUGAACAUUGCAGCAAGAGAGGAAUCCUCAGUUUUGGGUCAGGGUUGUUGAGUUGUGAUGGCAGCAGGAUCUCAGCCCUGGGAAAGAUUACAAUCUCAUUAUUAGUCAAGAGGAAGCAGGAAAGGGAAAGCUUGUAACAAAUGAGGUACAAAAGUGAAACAGGAGAUAAUUAUUAAUUGAAUUACUAUUUUAAGGUGAGGUCACACACGACUACAAACAAAAUUUCAAUGUAGAAAUCUGUAUGAGUAACACUAAAACAGUCCAACUGAUAAAAUAUUUUAACUAAUGUAAGACUUUCCUCAAGAAUUUUACUCAUAUGUAUUUAUAUAG